AUUGAACGCUGGCGGCAGGACUAACACAUGCAAGUCGAGCGAGCGGCGGACGGGUGAGUAAUGUAUGGGGACUGCCCGCUAGAGGGGGAUAACUACUGGAAACGGUAGCUAAUACCGCAUACUAUCGGAUAACCCAUAUGGGAUUGGCUAGUAGGUGAGGUAAUGGCUCACCUAGGCGACGAUCCCUAGCUGGUCUGAGAGGAUGAUCAGCCAUACUGUGACAGAGGCACGGCCCAGACGCCUGCGGAGGCAGCAGUGGGGAAUAGUGCACAAGGGGCGCAAGCCUGAUGCAGCCAUGCCGCGUGUAUGAAGAAGGCCCUAGGAUUGUAAAGUACUUUCAGUCGGGAGGCGUUACCGACAGAAGAAGCACCGGCUAACUCCGUGCCAGCAGCCGCGGUAAUUC
rnacentral:rRNA from 1 species